AACAGCUCAAAUUUGAAAUCUGGCCCCCCGGGCCCGAGUUGUAAUUUGGAGAGGGGAUUUCGGAGGCGGCGCCGGCCUAAGUUCCUUGGAACAGGGCGUCAUAGAGGGUGAGAAUCCCGUCUGUGGCCGGCGGUCAAUUUCAGGUGAAACCCCUUCGACGAGUCGAGUUGUUUGGGAAUGCAGCUCAAAAUGGGUGGUAAAUUUCAUCUAAAGCUAAAUACCGGCCAGAGACCGAUAGCGCACAAGUAGAGUGAUCGAAAGAUGAAAAGCACUUUGGAAAGAGAGUUAAAAAGUACGUGAAAUUGUUGAAAGGGAAGCGCUUGCAACCAGACUUGCUCGCGGGUGAUCAACCCCCCUUCGCGGGGGGUGCACUCGCCCGCGAUCAGGCCAGCAUCGGUCUCGACGGGCGGAUAAAGGCCCCGGGAAUGUAGCUCCCUUCGGGGAGUGUUAUAGCCUGGAGUACCAUGCGCCCAGUCGGGACCGAGGACCGCGCUUCGGCUAGGAUGCUGGCGUAAUGGUUGUCAGCGACCCGUCUUGA
rnacentral:rRNA from 1 species